CGGCCUAUCAGCUUGUUGGUGGGGUAAUGGCCUACCAAGGCGACGACGGGUAGCCGGCCUGAGAGGGUGAUCGGCCACACUGGGACUGAGACACGGCCCAGACUCCUACGGGAGGCAGCAGUGGGGAAUAUUGCACAAUGGGCGAAAGCCUGAUGCAGCGACGCCGCGUGGGGGAUGACGGUCUUCGGAUUGUAAACCCCUUUCAGUAGGGACGAAGCGCAAGUGACGGUACCUGCAGAAGAAGCACCGGCCAACUACGUGCCAGCAGCCGCGGUAAUACGUAGGGUGCGAGCGUUGUCCGGAAUUACUGGGCGUAAAGAGCUCGUAGGCGGUUUGUCGCGUCGUCCGUGAAAACUCGGAGCUUAACUCCGAGCUUGCGGGCGAUACGGGCAGACUUGAGUACUACAGGGGAGACUGGAAUUCCUGGUGUAGCGGUGAAAUGCGCAGAUAUCAGGAGGAACACCGGUGGCGAAGGCGGGUCUCUGGGUAGUAACUGACGCUGAGGAGCGAAAGCAUGGGUAGCGAACAGGAUUAGAUACCCUGGUAGUCCAUGCCGUAAACGGUGGGCGCUAGGUGUGGGGUCCUUCCACGGAUUCCGUGCCGUAGCUAACGCAUUAAGCGCCCCGCC
rnacentral:rRNA from 1 species